AACGCUGGCGGCGUGGUUAAGACAUGCAAGUCGAACGGACCAUUAAUUUAUUAGUGGUUAGUGGCGAAAGGGUGAGUAAUGGAUAGGUAACGUACCCCGGGCUCCGGGAUAGCCAGCCGAAAGGUUGGGUAAUACCGGAUAACAUCACCGACCGACGGGUGGGUGAUCAAAGAUUUAUCGGCGUGGGAGCGGCCUAUCUCCUAUCAGCUUGUUGGUGAGGUAACGGCCCACCAAGGCGAUGACGGGUAGCGGGACUGAGAGGUUGGCCCGCCACAUCGGGACUGAGACACUGCCCGGACCCCCACGGGGGGCUGCAGUAACGAAUCUUGGGCAAUGGGCGAAAGCCUGACCCAGCGACGCCGCGUGCGGGAGGAAGUCCUUCGGGAUGUAAACCGCUGUCAGACAAAGGAAAGUCCACUUCGGUGGAUUGAUCCGAGUCAGAGGAAGUCACGGCUAACUCUGUGCCAGCAGCCGCGGUAAGACAGAGGUGGCAAGCGUUGUUCGGUAUCACUGGGCUUAAAGCGUGUGUAGGCGGAAGCGUAAGCAUUUUGU
rnacentral:rRNA from 1 species